rnacentral:rRNA from 1 species
UGCGCAGGCGGCUUUGCAAGACAGAUGUGAAAUCCCCGGGCUCAACCUGGGAACUGCAUUUGUGACUGCAUGGCUGGAGUGCGGCAGAGGGGGAUGGAAUUCCGCGUGUAGCAGUGAAAUGCGUAGAUAUGCGGAGGAACACCGAUGGCGAAGGCAAUCCCCUGGCCAAAGACUGACGCUCAGGUGCGAAAGCGUGGGGAGCAAACAGGAUUAGAUACCCCCGUA